GAAGGUAUAGCUCAGUGGUAGAGCACAUACUUAGAAUACAUGAGGUCCUGGGUUCAAAUCUCAGUACCUCCA